rnacentral:lncRNA from 1 species
UGAGAAAGGUCUAGUUGAAGAUAUGGAUCCACUUUGGUUGUUUGGGUUGAUCAUUGAAACUUAAGUUCUUCUUGGUUGGUUCAAUAGAUUAGUUAUGGGGGUGGAAAACGCUUCUCACCACCAUGUCUCUCCUUAUGAUUAAAUCAAUUAGGGAACGUCCUAUAAUCAAUUACUAAUUAACAAAUUGCCAAGGAACGUCCUUGGGCCUUAGGCAUCAAAACAAUUGUCAAUUGCAUAAAGAAUGAGAGAGAUCCAAUCCUAGCUACUCCAAACGCAUGAAGAUGAUGCUAGAUCAUGCAAUUCCUUAGUUUUUACACCAAGUGUUCUUAGGUCAGAAUAUUUCCAGCAAUUACAGACCAACAAAUAUCCCAACUAACAAUCAAUUAACUUUGCAAUCAAGAAUCAAGUGGCCAAUUUGAUCAAAACAACAAAGCAAUCUUAGAAUUAAGCACACAAUUGCAUGAAUAUUGAAUCAAACCAAAAGCAAACACUUUAUGUUGAGAUCUCACAACCCUUUAAACAACCUUAAUUUCAACCAAACUUCAACUAGAAUUAGGGGUUUCAGCCACUCAUGACUGAACCAAAACAGAAAAUAAAAGAAAAGAAAGCAAGAAGAUGAAGAACUGAAGGGGAGAAGCCUUGGAGAGCCUUGGCCGAACCUUGGAGGAGUUGUGUGGAUGUAAAUCUGCCUUUCCUAUCUUCUUGAAGCCUUUAAAUAUGUCUUGGGAGGCUGCCUAGGGUUCCUUGGCAGUCCAUGAGUCUUUUAGAAGCUGUCCAAAGUACUCUUGGUCCCAUAUGUGCCUUCUUUGUGCAUGUGUGAAGGCAAAAACGUGGAGCAUGCAUGGGAUUGCAAGUGGGGGCUUUUUGGUCUUUUAAUUGCUACCCAAGGUCUUCAAGAUGUUGCCCAAGGAUUCCAAGAGGUUGCCCAUGCACUAAUAAGGAAGGUGGAGCCUCCUUUUGAAAUUUGAAUGUGCAUGGUAUGAAGUGGGAAACAUGUGAUCUUUGGAUUUGGCUUCCUUAAUAAGCUGGAUCUUGAAAUCCAAUAUUUGAAUGUGAAUCUUGAAGAUUUGGAUUUCAAAAUACUUCCCUUAUUUGGCUCCUCAAAUAUGACAACUUGGGAUAUGGCUUCUUGAAUAAGGAAAGGGAGUGUUGAGAGGGACUUUCAACUGCCUAAAAUUGCUUCCGGAAGUGGUACUUUCGGCUCUGGAGUGAAGGUUCGGCGGCCGAAGGUGGGUGACUUUCAGCUCUGGACCAGAUGACUCGCGGUUGUCAAAGCCGAUCAAAAAUAACCUUCUUAGUUAUCAACAAUUUACAACUGCAGAUAGUGAUGAAUGAUCGAAUCCACAGAGAAUUGAUUACCUAUUUAUUUUUCUCAACAAGACCAAUAAACUGAAACAAUGAGAUAAACAAAAAAUGAGAUAAACUGAAAGCGGAAUAAAAAUAAAUUGCAGUAAAAGUAAAAUGGGGGGUUUGAGAUUGAUUGUAGUAACUAAUAAUGAGAGUAAUAAUAGAAAGCAAAUAAUUAAAAUAAAAGAGGAAAUCAAUAUGAGAAAAAUCUAGUUGAAGAUAUGGAUCCACUUUGGUUGUUUGAAUUGAUCAUUGAAACUUAGAUUAUCUUGAUUGGUUUAAUAGAUUAAUUAUGGGGGAGGAAGACGCUUCUCACCACCAUGUCUCUCCUUAUGAUUAAAUUAAUUAGGGAACGUCCUCUAAUCAAUUACUAAUUAACAAAUUGCCAAGGAACGUCCUUGGGCCAUAGGCAUCAAAACAAUUGUCAAUUGCAUAAAGAAAUAGAGAGAUCCAAUCCUAGCUACCCAAACGUAUGGAGAUAAUGCUAGAUCAUGCAAUUCCUUGGUUUUUACACCAAGUGUUCUAAGGUUAGAAUAUUUCCAGCAAUUACGGACUAAAAAUAAUCCCAACUAACAAUCAAUUAACUUUGCAAUUAAAAUCAAGUGGCCAAUUUGAUCAAAACAACAAAGUAAUCAUGUAAUUAAAGCAUCAAUUGCAUGAAUAUUGAACAAAACCAAAGACAAUAAUUUAUGUUCAGAUCUCACAACCCAUUAAAAAACCUUAGUUUCAACCAAUUCUCAACUAGAGUUAAAGAAAUCAGCCACUCAUUGGUUGAAUUAAAAACAGAAAAUUAAAAGGAAAAGAAAAGAACCGAAAAUUGAGAGGAAUCUGCCCUGUGCGCCGAACUUGCCGAAUUGCUG